UCUUUCUCCAUUUCCAGCACUACCAGGUGUAGUUGUGACUGUCCUGCUGAUCUUAGGAAAAUAUGGUGAACAAGUGAUCUACACUGAUAACCCUGAAGACAACGUGGCCAUGUGCUGGAUAAUGGGACAUUGACGUGCACUACAUCGUCAACAUAGGCUACUAUGCGUUGGUCUUCAUCUUCACCUUCACCGCCUUCAUCGUCAUGAUGGUCUGGCUUUUUGGUCUCAAGAAAAACGGACAAGUCCCCACAAAUCGCCAUAGUAUUGGGGUCAUCAUGGGACUGUGUUGCAUGCUGGGUAUCGGUUGGGUUUUUGCCUUCUUUGCAUACGGUGUGCUCCAGAUCCCCGCCUACUACAUUUUCACCAUCCUCAAUUCUUUCCAAGGUUUCUUCCUGUUCAUCUACUACUACAGGAGCAGCCACUCUGGAGAGACAGCCAGUGGCGCUCAGGGUUCAAACUCCAGCGGCAGCAUGCUCAAAAGCAACCUGGACAUCUUUGAAAACCCCUACAGCAAUAAUUUAGAGAAAAAUAAUAAAACCCUGAAAGACAAACAGGGACUUGAGAGGGAUGAAGAUUGUAAGCUUAAAGAGGCCCUAUUGUACUUUUCAUGGGUUUUCCCUUUCCUGUAGUAUGGUAUAGGUGUGUGUGCAUAUACACAGUGUA